rnacentral:rRNA from 1 species
GACGAACGCUGGCGGCGUGCUUAACACAUGCAAGUCGAACGGAAAGGCCCUGCUUUUGUGGGGUGCUCGAGUGGCGAACGGGUGAGUAAUACGUGAGUAACCUGCCCUUGACUUUGGGAUAACUUCAGGAAACUGGGGCUAAUACCGGAUAGGAGCUCCUGCUGCAUGGUGGGGGUUGGAAAGUUUCGGCGGUUGGGGAUGGACUCGCGGCUUAUCAGCUUGUUGGUGGGGUAGUGGCUUACCAAGGCUUUGACGGGUAGCCGGCCUGAGAGGGUGACCGGCCACAUUGGGACUGAGAUACGGCCCAGACUCCUACGGGAGGCAGCAGUGGGGAAUAUUGCACAAUGGGCGGAAGCCUGAUGCAGCAACGCCGCGUGCGGGAUGACGGCCUUCGGGUUGUAAACCGCUUUCGCCUGUGACGAAGCGUGAGCGACGGUAAUGGGUAAAGAAGCACCGGCUAACUACGUG